rnacentral:lncRNA from 10 species
CCUAUCUUGGCCUCCCAAAGUGUUGGGAUUACAGGUGGGGGCCACUGUGCCCAGCCUCUGAGUGCCACCUCCUGCCUGACAAUCAGUCCCUUCCCCAGUUGCCAGGCCCCAGAGAUGUUUGUCUCUGUCAGAGAAGAGCCCAGCACUACCCACAAGGUCUACAAGAACCCAUAUUUGAGGGCGGGGCGUCCAGCAGAUGGAAAAGAGGUGGGGAGGUAUUCCUUAGGGGAAGAAGGGAGGGCACCGAAGUGAACAGGUGCUCGCUGCCAGCCUUGUCAGCACCACACACCUGGCAAGGCGCCUUAAACCUCACCUCAGCCCCAUGGUGCAGAAAAGAAAACCGAAACUCAGAAGAUAAGUAACCAGUACCUGGGCCUCGCCGCCAGGAGGCAACAAAGUCAGGAUUCCAGCUCAGCUCCGACACCUGUGGCCUGGCUUUUAACAGUUUAGAGGGAGGCUCACAAUUAAGAAUAAAUGCAGAAAAACGUUUGCAGCGGAGAUAAAGAGUGUUGUGUGAACCUGAGGAAGGAGGGAGAACCUGCUCAGCUGGAGGCGAGUCUGAGGAGUCUUCCUGGGAGAGGUCCCCUUGAGCGGGGACCUGACCGGGGAAAAAAGCUGGAUUCACUGAGAAGUGUCUAAAGCAGUUGUGCUGUUGAGAUAAAGCAGGAUCUGAAUUUCGAAUUGCUCAUCUCUCACACAGAUAUUACUUCAAAUGGACACAAUGAAAUAUUACUCAAAAUAUUUCUCGACUGAAAACUGGAAAUAUACAGAAUAUGUAUAUUGUUUUUAAGGCCAAAUCAUCUCAAGGAAUUUUAUGACAGAUUUGUCAGUGUGAAAUUUACAUUGGAUGGAGGAGGAAACCUUUUAGAAUAGGCCUACAGGAGACUUCGGUAACUCCCUUUCUUGGGUUCUUUAAAAUAUAUACAUCUUUCCUACAACACUUACACUUGCUUGAAAUCAGAGUUUAGGUUAGGAUUUAGCUGCAAGUGUCAACUUGCAAGAUUAAACAUUUUAGGGGACCUCCAGUCAAAGAUAAACUGCUGGAAGGGAGAAGAGCGGGAGAAGGGAAAAAUAAAAGAGCCAGUGCUCCCUCUAGUGGGGAAUUGUGGAGAAGCAUGCAGAGAUUCUUGGUGCCCUUGAUGCUCAAAAGCUGGAGGAUGUUCUCUGCUUGCUAAUUUUUGUUUUUUCUUUUAUUUUCUUUUUUUUUUUUUUUGAGACAGAGUCUCACUCUGUUGCCCAGGCUGGAGUGCAGUGGUGGGCAAUCUCAGCUCACUGCAACCUCAGCCUCUUGGGUUCAAGCGAUUCUCCUCCUGCCUUAACCUUCCGAGUAGCUGGGAUUAUAGGCGCAUGCCACCACCCGGCUAAUUUUUGUAUUUUUAGUAGAGACGGGGUUUCACCAUAUUGGCCAGGCUGGUCUUGAACUCCUGACCUCAAGUGAUCCAUCCACCUGCCUCGGCCUCCCAAAGUGCUAAGAUUACAGGCGUGAACCACAGUGCCCAGCCUCUGCUUAUUAAAGUCUAAUUGCUGACUAGAACACUCCAACUGUCUCACCAAAGAGCAAAUUAGAGCUCCAACACAAAUGAGUGACAAAAAGAAUUACUGUCUUCUUCCAUUCAGGAGUGUCAGUUGAUGUGUAGGACCAUAUUUUCAUGAAGAUGUAACAGUAAUUAAGUAGGAAAGUACUCCUAAUAUAAUAGAGGUAUUUUUAAAUGGCAAGAGAACAAAAUAUCUGGUUUAUCUAAAUGUGGAUAUUUACACCUUAGGUCAUUACAUAUUAAGAAUUUGAAUCUAUAUGGUGACAGGAUUUUUUCAGGUUUAUCUCACCCCGAUGUUGGGGGAAAAAAAUCUCCAGAACUCUAUAGUCUCUUGAAAUGAUUGUCCACUGAAGUUCCACGUAUUCAUAAAGUGCUCCCACAACUUGCUGACAAGCAUAGGUAUUUUACAUCCUGCCAUGAGUUUCAAGACAUUAACUCCUUUAGCUAUCAAAAAUGGAUAAAAACCACAGGUGACUGACAAGACUUUCACAAGUGCAGACAAAGGUUUGGAUUCAAAGCCUGGUCAUAUGGUUUGGCUGUGUCCCCACCCAAAUCUCAUCUUGAAUUCCCACAUGUUGCAGGAGGGAAUCAGUGGGAGGUAAUUGAAUCAUGGGGGCAGGUCUUUCCCAUGCUGUUCUCGUGACAGUGAAUAAGUCUUAUGAGAUUUGAUGGUUUCAUAAGGGGGAGUUUCCCUGCACAAGCUCUCUUCUCUUGUCUGCUGCCAUGUGAGACAUGCCUUUCACCUUCUGCCAUGACUGUGAGGCCUCCCCAGCCAUGUAAAACUGUAAGUCCAAUAAACCUCUUUCUUCUGUAAAUUGCCCAGUCUCGGGUAUGUCUUUAUCAGCAAUGUGAAAACUGACUAAUAUAGUAAAUUGGUCCCAGCAGUGGGGUGCUGCUGAAAAGAUACCCAAAAAAUUGAAAGCGACUUUGGAAGUGGGUAAUAGGCAGGGAUUGGAACAGUUUGGAGGCUUCAGAAGAAGACAGGAAAAUGUGGGAAAGUUUGGAACUCCCCAGAGACUUGUCGAAUGGCUU